GGGAUACGGUUCCAAUUCCGUAACCUGUUGAGUAUCCGUUUGUUAUUAAAUAUGGGCCUCGUGCUCAUCCUGGCAACAGGAACGACCAUAAAGAAGCCGUCGAGAGAUAUCGGAAGAGUUUUCUUUUCUGUUUUAUAGCCGUACUACCAUGGAAGUCUUUCGCAGAGAGAUAUGGUAGAUGGGCUAGAAGAGCAUGACAUAUACUGUUGUGUCGAUAUUUUCUCCUCGGACCUUGAAAAUUUAUGGUGGGGACACGCAAACUUCUCAACAGGCCGUACCAAUAUCCGCAGCUGGUCUCCAAGGUGAAGAGUCUCUAGUCGAUAGAAUAAUGUAGGUAAGGGAAGUCGGCAAAUUAGAUCCGUAACUUCGGGAUAAGGAUUGGCUCUGAAGAUUGAGAUAGUCGGGCUUGAUUGGGAAACAAUAACAUGGUUUAUGUGCUCGUUCUGGGUAAAUAGAGUUUCUAGCAUUUAUGUUAGUUACUUGUUCCCCGGAUAGUUUAGUUACGUAGCCAAUUGUGGAACUUUCUUGCUAAAAUUUUUAAGAAUACUAUUUGGGUUAAACCAAUUAGUUCUUAUCAAUUAUAACGAUUAUCAAUUAACAAUCAAUUCAGAACUGGCACGGACUUGGGGAAUCCGACUGUCUAAUUAAAACAAAGCAUUGUGAUGGCCCUAGCGGGUGUUGACACAAUGUGAUUUCUGCCCAGUGCUCUGAAUGUCAAAGUGAAGAAAUUCAAGUAAGCGCGGGUCAACGGCGGGAGUAACUAUGACUCAGGGAGGUGCCGUCAGGUAUUAUGUUGCGAAUAAUGAACCUAAUUCUAUGGUGCGGCAAUCUACCACACUCUAUCCGACUGGCCAGAACCGUCUUCAUCCCGAAGACGGUGACGGCGAAGCGACCGCAAGACUUUCGUCCAAUAUCGGUGCCUUCAGUCCUGGUAAGACAGCUAAAUGCAAUAUUGGCAACCCGGUUGAACUCAUCAAUCAAUUGGGACCCGCGCCAGCGGGGCUUCUUACCUACCGACGGAUGUGCCGAUAACGCGACGAUAGUUGACUUAGUCUUGAGGCAUAGCCAUAAGCACUUUAGAUCUUGCUACAUUGCAAAUUUAGAUGUAAGCAAGGCAUUCGAUUCUUUAUCGCAUGCAUCUAUAUAUGACACCUUACGUGCUUAUGGUGCGCCAAAGGGCUUCGUUGACUACGUACAGAAUACGUACGAGGGUGGCGGUACCAGUCUCAAUGGGGACGGUUGGAGUUCAGAGGAAUUCGUCCCUGCUAGAGGAGUGAAGCAGGGUGACCCUUUGUCUCCUAUUCUAUUUAACUUGGUAAUGGACAGGUUACUUAGAAACCUACCCAGCGAAUUGGUGCCAGAGUCGGAAAUGCCAUUACUAACGCGGCCGCGUUUGCAGAUGAUUUGGUACUAUUUGCUGAAACUCGAAUGGGACUUCAAGUAUUGUUGGACAGAACGUUGGAUUUUCUAUCUCUCGUCGGCCUCAAACUUAAUGCCGACAAAUGUUUUACCGUUGGCAUUAAGGGCCAGCCGAAACAGAAGUGCUCUUUCCUCGAAGCCGAAAAACAACGGGCCCGAGAUAGAUUAUUAGCAGAACAAAAUGAAUUGUUAUCGCGUCCGGCAAUAGAAAAAUAUUGGGCGAACAUUUGUACCUCUCAGUUGAUGGUAGCGGACUCCGUGAAGCAGGCCAUUGGGGCCCGCAACACGGGUGGGUUAAUCAACCCACGCGUUUACUAACAGGAAAGGAAUAUAUAGACGGUAUUCGUCUGCGGAUAAAUGCCCUACCCACGAAGUCUCGUACUAAAGGGAUAAGGCGCGAAUUGGAACGGCCGUGUCUUGCAAGUUCUGAGGCUUCCCUAACUACAUAACAUAUAAUGGCAACAAUUUACCUGAUCGCAGGGAAAGUGCAAACCUACAUCGAUCUGCGUAGAAUUCGGAAUCUGUGUGGGAAAUUGC
rnacentral:ncRNA from 1 species